AGGCAGCAGUGGGGAAUCUUGCACAAUGGGGGAAACCCUGAUGCAGCGACGCCGCGUGAGCGAUGAAGCCCUUCGGGGUGUAAAGCUCUUUCGGCAGGGAAGAUGAUGACGGUACCUGCAGAAGCAGCUGCGGCUAACUACGUGCCAGCAGCCGCGGUAAUACGUAGGCAGCGAGCGUUGUUCGGAGUUACUGGGCGUAAAGGGUGUGUAGGCGGUCCUCCAAGUUUGGUGUGAAAUCUCCCGGCUUAACUGGGAGGGUGCGCCGAAAACUGGGGGGCUAGAGUGCGGGAUGGGAGAGUGGAAUUCCUGGUGUAGCGGUGAAAUGCGUAGAUAUCAGGAGGAACACCGGUGGUGUAGACGGCUCUCUGGACCGUAACUGACGCUGAGACACGAAAGCGUGGGUAGCAAACAGGAUUAGAUACCCUGGUAGUCCACGCCCUAAACGAUGCAUAUUUGGUGUGGGUCAUUCAGUUGAUCCGUGGCCGGAGCUAACGCGUUAAAUAUGCCGCCUGGGGGAGUACAGUCGCA
rnacentral:rRNA from 1 species